UAACCCCAGCGCCACGAGUGGCAAUCGCACUUAUUGGGCCUAAAGCGUCCGUAGCCGGCUUAGUAAAUCUUUUGUGAAAUCGUACGGCCUAACCGAACGGCGUGCAGAAGACACUACUAAGCUUGGGACCGGGAGGAGUCAGAGGUAUGCCGGGGGGAGCGGUAAAAUGCUAUAAUCCUCGGUGGACCACCUGUGGCGAAGGCGUCUGACCAGAACGGAUCUGACGGUGAGGGACGAAAGCUAGGGGAGCGAACCGGAUUAGAUACCCGAGUAGUCCUAGCUGUAAACGCUGCGAGCUAGGUGUUGCAUAUUCUCCGAGAAUGUGCAGUGUCGAAGCGAAGGUGAUAAGCUCGCCGCCUGGGAAGUACGGUCGCAAGACUG
rnacentral:rRNA from 1 species